rnacentral:sRNA from 1 species
ACACUUCCCCCUCUUCUGCAGCAGACGGACUGAGUUCCUCUAAUCCCUGUGUUCCUUCUCCCCCAUCUUUCUAAAACCCUUCUCUGAGAGAGGAAUAACUAUAGCUUCGGGGAUAAUAUAGCUUUAAGGAAAUUUUGGCAGAUGUGGACGUCGUAACAUCUGGGCAGUGUUAACAGAAUCCCGGAGGCCGGGACAGACCAGGAGCCACUCGUUCUAGGAAUGUUAAAGUAGAAGGUUUUUUCCAAUUGAUGAGAGGAGCAGAGAGGAAGGAGAAAGAGGAGGAGAGAGAAAAAGGGCACAAAAUACCAUAAAACAGGUUCUGGCUACUAUCCGGAUGAAAGCUACAAUGAAGUAUAUGCAGAGGAGGUCCCACAGGCUCCUGCCCUGGACUACCGAGUCCCCCGAUGGUGUUACACAUUAAAUAUCCAGGAUGGAGAAGCCACAUGCUACUCACCGAGGGGAGGAAAUUAUCACAGCAGCCUGGGCACGCGUUGUGAGCUCUCCUGUGACC